GACGAACGCUGGCGGCGUGCCUAAUACAUGCAAGUAGAACGCUGAAGGAGGAGCUUGCUUCUCUGGAUGAGUUGCGAACGGGUGAGUAACGCGUAGGUAACCUGCCUGGUAGCGGGGGAUAACUAUUGGAAACGAUAGCUAAUACCGCAUAAGAGUAGAUGUUGCAUGACAUUUGCUUAAAAGGUGCAAUUGCAUCACUACCAGAUGGACCUCCGUCGUAUUAGCUAGUUGGUGAGGUAACGGCUCACCAAGGCAACGAUACAUAGCCGACCUGAGAGGGGGGUCGGCCACACUGGGACUGAGACACGGCCCAGACUCCUACGGGAGGCAGCAGUAGGGAAUCUUCGGCAAUGGACGGAAGUCUGAACGGGCAACGCCGCGUGAGUGAAGAAGGUUUUCGGAUCGUAAAGCUCUGUUGUAAGAGAAGAACGAGUGUGGGAGUGGAAAGUGCACACUGUGACGGUAGCUUACCAGAAAGGGACGGCUAACUACGUG
rnacentral:rRNA from 1 species